rnacentral:rRNA from 1 species
CCUACGGGAGGCAGCAGUGGGGAAUAUUGCACAAUGGGGGAAACCCUGAUGCAGCGACGCCGCGUGAGUGAAGAAGUAAUUCGUUAUGUAAAGCUCUAUCAGCAGGGAAGAAAAUGACGGUACCUGAGUACUAAGCCCCGGCUAACUCCGUGCCAGCAGCCGCGGUAAUACGUAGGGGGCAAGCGUUACCCGGAUUUACUGGGUGUAAAGGGAGCGUAGACGGGAGUGCAAGUCUGGAGUGAAAGCCGGGGGCUCAACCCCCGGACUGCUCUGGAAACUGUUCGGCUGGAGUGCGGGAGAGGUAGGUGGAAUUCCUGGUGUAGCGGUGAAAUGCGUAGAUAUUAGGAGGAACACCAGUGGCGAAGGCGGCUUACUGGACUGUAACUGACGUUGAGGCUCGAAAGCGUGGGGAGCAAACAGGAUUAGAUACCCUUGUAGUC